rnacentral:lncRNA from 1 species
UCCUGGGCACACCCAGAAGUCUCCCACUUCUGGAACUUUGUACCUGCUGGCUCAUCCUCUGCCCGGGCUGCAGCUUCUUGCAUUCUCCCCAGGGAUGGCACCUUUUUCUGCUUCAGGUCUUGCAUGAAACAUCACCCCCUUAGAAAGGCCAAGUUUUCUCUUUUGGUACCUCUGUAUUGUGCCUGUCUCGCCCUCUAAGCUGUCAGCUCCAUGAUGACACGGAGCUCGUUGGCCUUGUUUACUGCUUUAUCCUCAGUCUCUAGCAGAACCCAGCAUAAAGCAAGCACUUGAAAUGUGCUUGCUGAAUCAGUAAAUGCAGGUUAUGCUUCACGGCAGAAGUAGAGAGUGGUGAACUUUUUUUUUUUUUUUUUUUUUUUUUAACCACUCAGCUGUUUAGAUUUGACUUCUCCUUUUGGAUUUCUGGUCUCAGAUAACGUACAAAAACAUCUCUGAUCACUUGACUUGGGUGUUGCAUGCUGUCUUUCGUUGGCAGAGGUUCUGGAUUUUCGUCUAUGGUUUCCUCUGUAGUUGUUAUGAUACAGAAAUAUAUUCAUUGCUUCAGAGCUGUAGUAGUGAGACUGUUCAUCACAGGUCUCCGUAGGUUUGAGUUCUGGCUACUAAAUAGCCACGGAGUCUUGUAAAUAGAUCUUUCUUCCCUCCAUUCUGCUCCCCUUCUUCUCUUCCUGCCUCCCUCUCUUCCCAUGACACAUGGCAGGUGUUAAAAAGGUAUUUGAUUAUUUUGAUUAAAUGAUGUGAUAUUGACCUUCAUCUACUAAGAAAGAGUAUCUUGCUGGCACCUGUUGAUAACUUGUAGUUAUUGAACAUGAGUGGCUAACCUGGUUCUGAUUCUUAUCUCUCAACUCAGUUCAUCGUAUUGUUAGGAUCUGAAAUCUCUUCUAUAUUAACCUUUUAUUGUUUGACAGAGACCUAAGAUUUUUAUAAUGUUCAAGGAUGGUUGUGGGUACACUAUUAGAUGCCAUCAUGGGAUGCCAUCAUGGGGUGCCUGGAAAAGGUAGAUCAACAUUUUGUACCAGUUGUGCCACUUCCAAGUUGAGAGGCUGAAGGCAAUCUCUUCACCUCUUGGUCUUCAGUUGUCUUGGUUUUCUUACCUUCCUUUCUGUAGUAGCUCUGCUUUCUUAAUCUAAUCAAGAAAGGUUCAAAUAAAGGGAGCCACUGUCAAGAUGUCUUGCAGUUUAGCCGUGCACAAUGGAGAAAUCCUCUUGUCCUCAAUGAAGUGCAGCUAUUGUGAUCUUCUAUAAAGGAAACAAUCGUCACUGUUCACAUGGGUCCAGUUGUUUAUAUGUAAUUCAUUCAGCGUUGCGUUUGGCAUACAAGACUUCUUUAAACCUCGCAGCCCAGGAUCCAUUUAGUUUUAGAAAUUAAGCCAAAUUCCUUUUUUCCUUAAGUGCCUUUUCU